CAGCCAUGCCGCGUGCAGGAAGACGGCCUUCUGGGUUGUAAACUGCUUUUAUACGGGAAGAAAAGACCCUUGCGAGGGAGAUUGCCGGUACCGUAUGAAUAAGCACCGGCUAACUCCGUGCCAGCAGCCGCGGUAAUACGGAGGGUGCAAGCGUUGUCCGGAUUUAUUGGGUUUAAAGGGUGCGUAGGCGGGCCUUUAAGUCAGUGGUGAAAGCCUGCAGCUUAACUGUAGAACUGCCAUUGAUACUGGAGGCCUUGAGUGUACUAGAGGUAGGCGGAAUUUAUGGUGUAGCGGUGAAAUGCAUAGAUACCAUAAAGAACACCGAUAGCGUAGGCAGCUUACUGGAGUACAACUGACGCUGAGGCACGAAAGCAUGGGGAGCGAACAGGAUUAGAUACCCUGGUAGUCCAUGCCGUAAACGAUGAUUACUCGAUGUUGGCGAUACACUGUCAGCGUCCAAGCGAAAGCGUUAAGUAAUCCACCUGGGGAGUACGCUCGCAAGAGUGAAACUCAAAGGAAUUGACGGG
rnacentral:rRNA from 1 species